ensembl:lncRNA
AUGGAUCCAACUGAAAACCCAGGGAACCGCAUUGGUCGCACUAUUUGGACUGUUUGGGGUUAUCUGUCAGGGGCUGUUGCAAGAUUUCUCAGACCGGAAGUCACAGAUGAAGGAAACCAAGGUGUUCGUACCAGAACAGAUGAUAUUGACUUGAAAAGUGCAGUUAACAAGAUUGACAGAGAAGUAACGGCAAAAAAUAGCAACAAUGAAGGGAAGGAAACAAAUCAAAUUGACAGUGCAGAGGUCAAGUGUUCCCCAUCUAAAGUCAGAGUGCAAGUGGCUUCUGUACAGUGGGAAAACACUGAUGUGGUCAAGGAUGACAAUAAUGAUGAACUUCAUGUUCACACCACAAAAAAACAAACUUACCAUUGUGCAGUGUGGUCCCCUGGGACUGAUACAGACAACGAAGGAUGCAUGGUUGACGCACUUGUUGAGAAAGAAGCAGUCUCAUCUGAUGAGGUUCAGGCUGAAAAUAUAUAUGCGAACAAUGAGUUUAAGGAGAGUGAAACUGCACACGAGUUGGAAGAAAAUGGAAAGAUUGAACAAAAAUAUGGUGACAAUGAAGAUAUAGAAGAACGUGAUCAGAAUCAUAAGGGUGAAAAGUGUGCAAAGAAUAGAAAAGAUGCAUAUGAGACAGACGUAAUGGUCCAAUUUGAUCAAGAUGUAGAACAGGAAAAGCAGAUAAACAUGGCGGACCAUGGAGAGACAGAAGGCAUUGCAGGUUUUAAACAUGCAGAUACACAUCUUAUUGAUGAACAAAUUGUUGACCAGAAGGAUCGGGGGGGAAUUGCUUACGUCUCUAAAAACGAGGUUGAGGAGAUGAUGCCUGAAACUAGAGGUGCGACUGAGCAGGAUAAGGAGAAGAAAACUGUACAGGACUUGGAAGAAAUUGGGCAGCUUGAACGAAACGAUGGUGACAAUGAAGAUAAAGAAGAAUGUGAUCAGAAUCAUGAGGAAGAAAAGUGUGCAGUGGAGAGUGAAGAUCUGGAUAAUGCAGACGUAAAGGUCCAAUCUGAGCUUUAUGGACAAGAUGUAGAACAUGAAAUGAAGAUAAGCAUGAUGGACCAUGCAGAGAAAGAAGGUAUUGGAGGUUUUAAACAUUCAGAUGAACAUCCAAUUGAUGAAAAGGAGAACAAUUUAGACCAGAAGGAUCAGGAGAAAACUGAGAAUGAUGAAGAACAAGGACUUGAAUCACAAGUUCAAGAUCUGCAGAAGAGUAAAGAUCCAGAUAAUGCAAAUGUAAUGGUCCAAUGUGAGCAAGAUGUAGAACAAGAAAAGAAGAUAAAUAUAGUGGACCAUGGAGAGACAGAAAGAAUUGCAGGUUUUAAACAUGCAGAUGAACACCUUAUUGAAGAAAAGGAGAACAAUUUAAACCAGAAGGAUCAGGAGAAAACUGAGAAUGAUGAAGAAAAAGGACUUGAAUCACAAGUUCAAGAUUUGCAGAAGAGUGAAGAUCCAGAUAACGCAGACAUAUUGGUCCAAUGUGAGCUUUAUGGACAAGAUGUAGAACAAGACAAACUGAUAAACAUGAUGGAUCAUGGAGAGACAGGAGGCUUUGGAGGUUUUAAACUUUCAGAUGAACAUCCUAUUGAUGAAAAGGAGAACAAUUUAGACCAGAAGGAUCAGAAGAAAACUGAGAAUGAUGAAGACCAAGGACUUGAAUCACAAGUUCAAGACUUGCAGAAGAGUAAAGAUCCAGAUACUGCAGACGUAAUGGUCCAAUGUGAGCAAGAUGUAGAACAAGAAAAGCAGAUAAACAUAGCGGACAGUGGAGAGACAGAAGACAUUGGAGGUUUUAAACAUUCAGAUGAACAUCUUAUUGAUGAAAUAGAGGAACAAAUUGUUGACCAGAAGGAUCGGGGGAGAACUGAGAAGGAUGAAGACCAAGGAACUGAAUCACAAGUGCAAGAUUUGCUGCCACAGCUGGAAUAUUUAAAAAAAUAUUCUGAUGAAAUUGCUUGCAUAUCUAAAAACGAGGUUGAGGAGAUGAUGCCUGAAACUAGAGGUCCGACUGAGCAGUGUAAGGAGAAGGAAACUGUACAGGACUUGAAAGAAAUUGGGCAGCUUGAACAAAACAAUGGUGACAAUGAAGAUAAAGAAGAAUGUGAUCAGAAUCAUGAGGAAGAAAAGUGUGCAGUGGAGAGUGAAGAUCUGGAUAAUGCAGACGUAAUGGUCCAAUCUGAGCUUUAUGGACAAGAUGUAGAACAAGAAAUGCAGAUAAGUGGGAUGGACCAUGCGGAGAAAGAAGGCAUUGGAGGUUUUAAACAUUCAGAUGAACAUCCUAUUGAUGAAAAGAAGAACAAUUUAGACCAGAAGGAUCAGGAGAAAACUGAGAAUGACGAAGAACAAGGACUUGAAUCACAAGUUCAAGAUUUGCAGAAGAGUGAAGAUCCAGAUAACGCAGACAUAUUGGUCCAAUGUGAGCUUUAUGGACAAGAUGUAGAACAAGACAAACUGAUAAACAUGAUGGAUCAUGGAGAGACAGGAGGCUUUGGAGGUUUUAAACUUUCAGAUGAACAUCUUAUUGAUGAAAUAGUGGAACAAACUGUUGACCAGAAAGAUCGGGGCAGAACUGAGAAUGAUGAAGACCAAGGAACUGAAUCACAAGUGCAAGAUUUGCUGCCACAGCUGGAAUAUUUAAAAAAAUAUUCUGAUGAAAUUGCUUGCAUAUCUAAAAACGAGGUUGAGGAGAUGAUGCCUGAAACUAGAUGUGCGACUGAGCAGGGUAAGGAGAAGGAAACUGUACAGGACUUGGAAGAAAUUGGGCAGCUUGAACAAAACGAUGGUGACAAUGAAGAUGAAGAAGAAUGUGAUCAGAAUCAUGAGGAAGAAAAGUGUGCAGUGGAGAGUGAAGAUUUGGAUAAUGCAGACGUAAAGGUCCAAUCUGAGCUUUAUGGACAAGAUGUAGAACAAGAAAUGCAGAUAAGUGGGAUGGACCAUGCGGAGAAAGAAGGCAUUGGAGGUUUUAAACAUUCAGAUGAACAUCCUAUUGAUGAAAAGAAGAACAAUUUAGACCAGAAGGAUCAGGAGAAAACUGAGAAUGAUGAAGAAAAAGGACUUGAAUCACAAGUUCAAGAUUUGCAGAAGAGUGAAGAUCCAGAUAACGCAGACAUAUUGGUCCAAUGUGAGCUUUAUGGACAAGAUGUAGAACAAGACAAACUGAUAAACAUGAUGGAUCAUGGAGAGACAGGAGGCUUUGGAGGUUUUAUACUUUCAGAUGAACAUCUUAUUGAUGAAAUAGUGGAACAAACUGUUGACCAGAAAGAUCGGAGCAGAACUGAGAAUGAUGAAGACCAAGGAACUGAAUCACAAGUGCAAGAUUUGCUGCCACAGCUGGAAUAUUUAAAAAAAUAUUCUGAUGAAAUUGCUUGCAUAUCUAAAAACGAGGUUGAGGAGAUGAUGCCUGAAACUAGAUGUGCGACUGAGCAGGGUAAGGAGAAGGAAACUGUACAGGACUUGGAAGAAAUUGGGCAGCUUGAACAAAACGAUGGUGACAAUGAAGAUGAAGAAGAAUGUGAUCAGAAUCAUGAGGAAGAAAAGUGUGCAGUGGAGAGUGAAGAUUUGGAUAAUGCAGACGUAAAGGUCCAAUCUGAGCUUUAUGGACAAGAUGUAGAACAAGAAAUGCAGAUAAGUGGGAUGGACCUAGCAGAGGAAGAAGGCAUUGGAGGUUUUAAACAUUCAGAUGAACAUCCUAUUGAUGAAAAGAAGAACAAUUUAGACCAGAAGGAUCAGGAGAAAACUGAGAAUGACGAAGAACAAGGACUUGAAUCACAAGUUCAAGAUUUGCAGAAGAGUGAAGAUCCAGAUACCGCAGACGUAAUGGUCCAUUGUGAGCAAGAUGUAAAACAGGAAAAGCAGAUAAACAUAGCGGACCAUGGAGAGACAGAAGGCAUUGCAGGUUUUAAAUAUGCAGAUGAACAUCUUAUUGAAGAAAAGGAGAACAGUUUAAACCAGAAGGAUCAGGAGAAAACUGAGAAUGAUGAAGAAAAAGGACUUGAAUCACAAGUUCAAGAUUUGCAGAAGAGUGAAGAUCCAGAUAACGCAGAC